CAAUAGCGUAUAUUAAAGUUGUUGCAGUUAAAAAGCUCGUAGUUGGAUUUCGGGGUGGCCUGGCUGGUCCGCCGCAAGGUGAGUACUGGUCAGCCGCCCUUCCUCUCGAAAGCCCCGACUGCUCUUUACUGCAGUGGUCGGGUAGUUCGGGACGUUUACUUUGAAAAAAUUAGAGUGGUCAAGGCAGGCUAUCGCCUGAAUACAUUAGCAUGGAAUAAUGGAAGAGGACCUCGGUCCUAUUUUGUUGGUUUCUAGGGCCGAAGUAAUGAUUAAGAGGGACAGUUGGGGGCAUUCGUAUUUAAUUGUCAGAGGUGAAAUUCUUGGAUUUAUGAAAGACGAACUAGUGCGAAAGCAUUUGCCAAGGAUGUUUUCAUUAA
rnacentral:rRNA from 1 species